CUUCUUGGAAGAGUGACGGGCGAUUUGUGCAUAAUCAUUUUCUAAGCUUUAAAAUUAAAUUUUUAUUUAUUUUCUUUUAUUAACAAGUCCUAUUUCCUCUUUGGCUCUGUUUUUAUCCAUUUAUUUUAAUUUGUAUCCCAUAAUCUACUUACAUAUUAACUCUGUCUUGAUUUGUCUUAAAAUCUCAAAAAUUUGGUAAAGUAUUUUUCUUAAAUUCUUUUUGGGACAAUGAUAUAGGGGCUAAAAAAGUAAGUUCACUUAAUCGUGGUUUAUCUAUUAAGAAACAGGAUCCCCUGCAAAGAUUGAAUACCGCCAUCUUUGUCCAACUUUCGUUUAUCUAACUACUAUUUUUUAUUAAUUUAAAA
rnacentral:rRNA from 2 species